GACAGGAGGAAACGCGGCACCAGCAGCAUCUCAUCUACUCUCCUUGACACCUCCUCCCCGUGGCUCCAGCCAGACCCUAGAGGUCAGCCUUGCAGACCAACAGGAGGACUCCCAGCGUUCCCUUUUCAAGAGGUCCCCAGACCCCGGCUGCCCUCUUGCAGCGCCUGUGGCUAGCGCAAGGAGGAACCAGUGCUCUGAGGCUGUCGCGUGGUGCAGCGUCGAGCAUCCUUGCCGAGGUCCUUUCUGCUGCCUGUCCCGCCUCACCCCGCUCCAUCACACCAGCUGGCCCUCUUUGCCUCCCUUUCCCAGAAUCUUUAAGCUCCGAAUCCCACCAGCGCUUCCUACCAACCUCACCCCACCCUGUCCCUGUGCCUUCCCGCGCUCCGGUGUCCCCCGCUGCCAUG
rnacentral:other from 1 species